AUACCAGCAUGGGGCUGCCCAGGAGCAGCUGAGAGCGGGAAGGCACGAAAACAGCCACCGAGCCACCUGCUUCGCAGCGCUUUUAGAGUCAACAUCUGCUGCAAUUAACGAGGGUGAGGGGCAGCGCUGGGACAAUUUGUCUUGCCUUCUUCUGUCUCUGCAAGACUGACAGCAAACCUCUGCUCCCACCAGGGAAGCCUGGAUGUGAUUCAUCAAGGGAUGUCUGAUUUGCUUAGCGGGGAGCCCUCCGGCUGCCAGGUGGAAGCACAAAGUGGUUCGUCAGCAGCUGCAAAGGAGUUGACAGGUGUCUGCAUCGGGCUUCCUGCUAAUUAAGCGCUGUUGUGAGUCGCAGGCAAAGGGAUGGAGGAGCCAGGAAGAAGCUCACCCAUGAAGGGCCUAGCAGUGACCUCUGCACUCUCCUGGCUGAAGGAGGUCUCCCUGCAUUCAUGAAUAGCACUGUCAGCCUGGGUAAGGAUCUGAACACGCCUGUAACUGCUGGCACAGACAGAAGCAAGCACGCGUGCUGGAUGUGGCUGAGCAUCUCUACAUGUCUGUACAAGGUGAGCCCACGCGUUUCUGCAGCAGAAUCAAUGGCUUGCACCUCCAAACUUCAAUGGUGCCUCUGAGUCUAAAGGGCAAAGUGUGUCUUAGUGGUGCAAUUUGGUGGAGAUAAAGAUUUGGCUGGCU
rnacentral:lncRNA from 7 species